UUGCACGCUGGCGGCAGGCCUAACACAUGCAAGUCGAGCGGAUGAAGGGAGCUUGCUCCUGGAUUCAGCGGCGGACGGGUGAGUAAUGCCUAGGAAUCUGCCUGGUAGUGGGGGAUAACGUCCGGAAACGGGCGCUAAUACCGCAUACGUCCUGAGGGAGAAAGUGGGGGAUCUUCGGACCUCACGCUAUCAGAUGAGCCUAGGUCGGAUUAGCUAGUUGGUGGGGUAAAGGCCUACCAAGGCGACGAUCCGUAACUGGUCUGAGAGGAUGAUCAGUCACACUGGAACUGAGACACGGUCCAGACUCCUACGGGAGGCAGCAGUGGGGAAUAUGGGACAAUGGGCGAAAGCCUGAUCCAGCCAUGCCGCGUGUGUGAAGAAGGUCUUCGGAUUGUAAAGCACUUUAAGUUGGGAGGAAGGGCAGUAAGUUAAUACCUUGCUGUUUUGACGUUACCAACAGAAUAAGCACCGGCUAACUUCGUG
rnacentral:rRNA from 1 species